UAACACAUGCAAGUCGAACGAGAGAUGAGGAGCUUGCUCUUCGAAUCGAGUGGCGAACGGGUGAGUAACGCGUGAGGAACCUGCCUCAAAGAGGGGGACAACAGUUGGAAACGACUGCUAAUACCGCAUAAGCCCACGGCUCGGCAUCGAGCAGAGGGAAAAGGAGCAAUCCGCUUUGAGAUGNCCUCGCGUCCGAUUAGCUAGUUGGUGAGGUAACGGCCCACCAAGGCGACGAUCGGUAGCCGGACUGAGAGGUUGAACGGCCACAUUGGGACUGAGACACGGCCCAGACUCCUACGGGAGGCAGCAGUGGGGAAUAUUGCACAAUGGGGGAAACCCUGAUGCAGCGACGCCGCGUGGAGGAAGAAGGUCUUCGGAUUGUAAACUCCUGUUGUUGAGGAAGAUAAUGACGGUACUCAACAAGGAAGUGACGGCUAACUACGUGCCAGCAGCCGCGGUAAAACGUAGGUCACAAGCGUUGUCCGGAAUUACUGGGUGUAAAGGGAGCGCAGGCGGGAGAACAAGUUGGAAGUGAAAUCCAUGGGCUCAACCCAUGAACUGCUUUCAAAACUGUUUUUCCUGAGUAGUGCAGAGGUAGGCGGAAUUCCCGGUGUAGCGGUGGAAUGCGUAGAUAUCGGGAGGAACACCAGUGGCGAAGGCGGCCUACUGGGCACCAACUGACGCUGAGGCUCGAAAGUGUGGGUAGCAAACAGGAUUAGAUACCCUGGUAGUCCACACCGUAAACGAUGAUUACUAGGCGUUGGAGGAUUGACCCCUUCAGUGCCGCAGUUAACACAAUAAGUAAUCCACCUGGGGAGUACGACCGCAAGGUUGCAACUCAAAUGAAUUGA
rnacentral:rRNA from 1 species